CCAUCGUCAUGUCUUUCUUGAUCUCCUGGUCUCUUUGUGUACUCGGUCGGUUUCCCCCGCGCUGAUCCGGCCGACGGCGACGCGCUAUAGGAGUAGGAGGGUGUGCUUGGAGAGGAGGAGUCGGAUUCAAGCGAAGAGCACUCAAGAUCGGCGGAUCAUGGAGAUGUGACACCGUGAGGAUCAAGUAGAGGGCUGGUUGCGAGCACUAAAAUUUUCCCCGUCCUGGCUGGAAGACGAGGCCUCGAUCGGGAAAGCCCCUCCCGGAGGGCCUCUUCAACAUCGAUAUGGAGGAGCACCUGAUGCGCAGUCUGGCGAAAUCAAUGAGGAGGAGCCUUCGACAUCCGCUACCACUGGACGUAUCUUCCCCAUCGAAGUCAGACUCAAAAUCGGCGCCUAAUGAAGAUGUGAUGAAAAUUUUGCUGCCCGGGCUCUCCCUAACGCGAGAUCUCCCCUGGUCGAGCUCCCUCCGUGGCCGACGGCCAUGGUGCGGGGCGGUUCCAGCACGAUUUUUCGCCACCCGGGCUUUCCCCUACCACGAGAUCCCUCUGGCUGACGAGCUCGCUCCGUGGUCGGCGGCCAUGGUUUGAGGGACGGGCCCUGCUCUGGUGUAGCGGCUGUUGAAGAGGUGCUCUAGCUCCUCCGAUGCAGGUCCUCACCUAGAAGCGGUCCCUGACCCCAAUUUCUGGUGCGUCCUAUGGUUGCUCAACGGUCGGUGUUGUGUCUCUUGGACAUCAUUGGCUCUCAACGAUGCCUUCGAUUCUUUCUCUCUGCCGAAGGGGAGUGGCAGGGGAGGGGCGGUGCAGUCGAGGAGGCCGCAGGUUCAGGUGGAGCGCCGCGAGGACUUACGACUUGAAGAGCGACAUGGAUUGUCGGUCGUCGGGGUGGCUGGCACGAAUUUGUUUUCGCCCAAGUUCUCCUCCGCUGUCGAGCUCCUCGGCGGCUGGUGUCCAUGGCGUGGGUCAGAUCCUGUUCUGGUGUCGCGGCCGUCACCGUUGUGCUCUGGUUCCCUUCGACGCAGCUCCACUCCUGGAAGGCGGAACCCGACACGAUUGGUCCGACGUGUGGGUGCUUGACGACCAGCAGUGGUCGAGCUACUCAAGGUUCUGAUGCUGGCCGCCAUCGUCACUUGAUGGGAUGGGAACUGCUACGACUUCAACUGCCCUUCGUCCUCUCCGUUGUAGGUAUACACCACCUUUCUCUUCCUCUUGCUCGGUUGCCUUCGUUUUCCCUACUUUUCUCUCCAGUUCAUCUUCUGGUGUUGUGCCAGUAUGUGUUUGCUUCCAGUGUGUGUGUCGACGGAAGGUAGGAGGCCAGCCCCACCAUCUCUGUUUCUUCUGAUAUGCACUGCGGGCUGUUUGUUUUGGAUUCGGUCUGGGUGAAGUGGGUGUUGAUGUGGGCUAGGAUGGGCACGACAACUUUGAUUCUUGCUUGAACAAGAUGGUCGCUCUCCAUCGCGGAUAGAGGAUGCCAAGGUGAACGCCCUGACCAUUGUAUUGGUUCAGGUGUUCAGUGUUAACAUUCAGUUGGGUUAAUAUCCAAGAAUUCAGAACAAGAAGAAGGCAGAAGUUCAUGUUGAUUAACAUGACAAGACGGUGAAUGUACCCGGUAAAUGCUCCAGAGCAUUAGUCUUCCAUGGAGCCGGCAAAGAAUCUUUGCAAAUGUUACAAAAAAAACAUAGUAGUGAUAUUACCAGAUGGCACAGAUAGUUUUCCACUUGCAGAAGCAGCCACGUUACUGACUAUGUUUAGCCAACUGCGGAUCAAGUAUUACUUACAAUUCCGAAGUGGUGUAUGUAUAUUAAGCUUUGUACAUGACUGCUCAUUUUGGAACCUUUCUUCAUGUAAGCACCAGGUUUGUUGAACUUUACACCUUUUUGGUUUGAUUAAGUUGAUAGAAACUUGUUGUUGUCAUCACUUCCUUUGGUGCAUGGUUUCAGGAGAUAAAAACAUCCAGCUGUUGCACUUGAACUUCAUUUGUUUGAUUGAAAAAUUGAGCAAUGAUCUGGUAUAAUUGGGUCUCAGAUUUAAAUUUGCUUUCGAAUACAAAUGUGUGAUUUACUUGAUCAUGGUUGUUAUUCUUCUAACAGGUUACAAUCACAUGGCCAGUGACAUGUGCAAUAAGCGGUAGUUUUGGGCUUCUUUAAUUGUGAAGGGAGCCUAAUCCAGCCAAAGGAUAAGAAGAAUUGGUUGUCUAAUUCAUGAACAUUUGUCAGAGACAUGGUUAAGAAUUAGAAAUGUAUGCUGGAGUGAGCGGAAACCACAGAUAGUUAUGGAAGCAAAGAGGUAGUCAAAAGAACUGGGGUGUAGACGAAGUUGACGUCUUGCAUCAUUUUUGUUGGAGGACUUGACUCAAAGGAGUAUAUUCAGACUGGAUUCUUACUGGCUCUAAAAGUGCAAUCCUUCCAGAUUUAAGGUGCAUGGCGUUUUGGCACCGUUAACAGUACAUGGCAGAGCAAUCCUUCCAGGGAGGUUCUGACUUCUUCACUCUAGCAUUAUAUCUUUUAUUUGUCUCACCAUCUAGAACUUUUUGUUUGGAAAUGAAAACUUAAUACGUUGAUUACUCUAUACCACGGUAAUGAAUUAUAAUAUAUGUUUGCCUUAUAAUGUCAACCUGUAGAUACAUGGUUCUUGUGUUGGUAAAACAGCAGAGUACAUUGAUAUUAAGAGCAUGUAGAUUUAAAAGGAUAUUUUUCUCUCUGCUUCACUGUUUUGGUAUUUCUUAAAUUUAGUAAUUAUGUGAGAAUUUUUGCUUUCUCACCCUGUUUAAUAAUCUCAGAAUUAGAAAUGUAUGCUGGAGUGAGCGGAAACCAAAGAUUGUUAUGGAAGCAAAGAGGUAGUCAAAAGAACUGGGGUGUAGACGAAGUUGACGUCUUGCAUCAUUUUUGUUGGAGGACUUGACUCAAAGGAGUAUAUUCAGACUGGAUUCUUACUGGCUCUAAAAGUGCAAUCCUUCCAGAUUUAAGGUGCAUGGCAUUUUGGCACCGUUAACAGUACAUGGCAGAGCAAUCCUUCCAGGGAGGUUCUGACUUCUUCACUCUAGCAUUAUAUCUUUUAUUUGUCUCACCAUCUAGAACUUUUUCUUUGGAAAUGAAAGCUUAAUACGUUGAUUACUCUAUACCACGGUAAUGAAUUAUAAUAUAUGUUUGCCUUAUAAUGGCAACCUGUAGUUACAGAGUUCUUGUGUUUAUGAUAUACAUGGGAAUAAGGCAUAAAUACAAGAACCAUGUGUCUACAGGUUGACAUUAUAAGGCAUAAACUAUCUAACUUCCCUGGCGGUACUAUGGGGUACCACUUUAGGUACGUACAAGUACAAUCUUUGGAAUGCUAUAACCAUGGUUGAUUCAACAAGUAAAGCAUGGUGUCGGUAUCUAAAUACAGUAGCAGAACCAAGUUAAUCUUCUUUUAUGUCAUAUUGUUAUUUGAAACAAGUAGCCUGCCUUUUAAUCAAAUAAUAUGAUCCUCUGUUGUUCCCCAAGGUCCAUAGUUCAUGGUAUAAAUAUAUGCAUUUCACCGCAACACUUCAGUACUUGAGGGCAAAAUAUAGAACCUCCUAUACUUCAUUGGUAAAAAUAUUUCUCAGAACUACAUGGGGUCCUCUUUAUUAUGUACCCUUCUUUUUUCUGCAUCUCCUUGCUUAGUUUCCAUAAACAUAGAAGGCUACAAUAUUUGUUUUAUCAUCUUUGGUUAACGAUUACGAAGGAGAAAAGAUGCCUAAUGAAUGUCUAAUGCAUUGACACAUGCUGAUCCGUAGAGCCUGUAAAUUUCUUUUUGUGGGUAUCUUUGUGUAGAAGUGUAACUGUAACCAGUGUCACAGGACAGUCGUGUUGCCGUAGUCCAAUAUUCAGGUACACAUGAAAUAAAGUAUUUCAGAGAUCAUGGUGCUAAUUCAUUUUUUCAUAUUUAUAGUUUUGGUCUUCUUGAUUAAAUAAGAUAGUGCAAAAGAUCCUACAAAAAAGUUGUGCUUUCUAUUUCAAAGUAACAAGUUAUUACAGAAGUCAAGAAAUUAAAUAAAUCAUACAUUUACCUCCAUAUUUUUUAGGUCCUCGGCAACAAUAUGCCAUCUCAAUAACUUUAGUUAGAUAUGAACGAACAAUAUGAUAUUGAAAGUUGUAGUCUUUUUUGAUGAAAUAUCAUAAGAACUGUAGAAGAUCCAACAAAAAUGCGUUCUUCCUAUUACAAAGUAAUAGCCCACUACAGAACGUAAUGGAUGUGUUAUAUGUUCCAACCAAGCUAGGUAUGAAAUCAAAUUAAUUUACAAGAAAAAAUAUGUUAUACACAUUUGCCAAUAUGGCAAGAUCCAGUAAGUCUUCUUCUUUGCUGCAUUUGUCUUACAGUCUGAAAUAGCAACAAUACGUUAAGCAUGGGUCCUCAACAACAAUAUGAUACCUCCAUAUUUUCUAGGUCCUCAGUAACGAUAUGAUAUCUCAUUAACUUUAGUUAUAAAGGAGCAAUAUGAUUCCUAGGUACUGCUAAGUAUAAUUUAUCUUUUGUUUCCAUUGUCAGUUGUAGGGCUGAUUAGAUUUUUCUUGAGAUUGUCCAGCAAGUAUACCUGUUUUUUCUGAUUUUGUUUGUUCUUUUCUAAAUGGAAUUCACUCUUAUCUCUUCGUGAAGAUUAACCUACCAGUUCAUAUCCUUCUAUUUUGGAAAUGCACUCUUCCUUUUCCAUAGAUUGAACUGGUGCGGACUAUUACAUGAGAUUACUAUAUGUUUGUGAAAAUACCAUCCCUCUUGCGAUCCUUCUAUUUUUUUCAAUCAUGAUUUGUUCUUUGCGCGAAAGUGCUCCUAAUACAUGCUUUCCUGUUAGCAUUUGUGUUUUUGGAUAAGAGGUUCAUUAUAACGUUUUUCCAUGGGCCAAUGAUGAGACAAUGCUAUCAUUAAAAUACUCUGCUACUUCAGUUGUCCUUUUGUGAAAUGUUCUUCAUUGUCAACUUCUUGCCACCACCAUUCUUCUAUAUGUCCCUUAACAUGCCAUCAGCUAGGCAAACAACAACUGCAAAUGUAUUGAUGUCAAGUUUGCUCUAUUUUCUCAUUAUCAUUGUAAUAAGGCAUCAUGACAUCUUAGCUUCACUUUGUUUGAAAUAUCCAGUUGAAUGCUAUCAUGUUUUGCAACAGUAUUGUUUAACAACAGGAAGAACAAGAGUUAACUGAUCUUCUUACUUACCAUGUUUACUGCUCAUUCUUUAAGAGGGACAUUACAGGAACAUGUAAGCAAUUGGCGGAUGAUGCAAGCAAAUAUGUAGCUUAAUAAAGCACCUGUUAUCGAAAAAAUUAGCUUAAUGUCCAUCGUGGAACAAUAUUGAGCCAACCGAGGCAUGCUUUUGUCAUGUUUACUACCAUCUUAGAUAUCAUAAGUGCAGACCACUAGCAUGUAAUUUGUGGCAAUGUACGUGUAUCGACUUACCGUGAGAUUGUAUAAAGUUGUUGUCAAAUAUGUAAUCAACUGUUAUGCCAAUCUGCCAUUGAACUGAGAA